rnacentral:rRNA from 1 species
GUUUGAUCCUGGCUCAGGAUGAACGCUGGCGGUAUGCUUUACACAUGCAAGUCGUACGAGAGUUUUUAACUCAAGUGGCGGACGGGUGAGUAACACGUAAGAAUUUGCCUUUAGGAGGGGGAUAACAACUGGAAACGGUUGCUAAUACCCCAUAUGCUUUCGAGUGAAAUGGAGUUUUCCGCCUAAAGAGAAGCUUGCGGCUGAUUAGCUUGUUGGUAAGGUAAUGGCUUACCAAGGCGACGAUCAGUAUCUGGUUUGAGAGGACGAUCAGACACACUGGAACUGAGACACGGUCCAGACUCCUACGGGAGGCAGCAGUGGGGAAUUUUCCGCAAUGGGCGAAAGCCUGACGGAGCAAUACCGCGUGAGGGAUGACGGCCUAUGGGUUGUAAACCUCUUUUUUCAGGGAGGAAAAAAAUGACGUUACCUGAAGAAUAAGCAUCGGCUAACUCCGUGCCAGCAGCCGCGGUAAGACGGGGGAUGCAGGUGUUAUCCGGAAUCACUGGGCGUAAAGCGUCUGCAGGUGGUUUAAUAAGUCAACUGUUAAAUCUUGAGGCUUAACUUCAAAACCGCAGUCGAAACUAUUAGACUAGAGUAUAGUAGGGGUAAAGGGAAUUUCCAGUGGAGCGGUGAAAUGCGUAGAGAUUGGAAAGAACACCGAUGGCGAAGGCACUUUACUGGGCUAUUACUAACACUGAGAGACGAAAGCUAGGGUAGCAAUGGGAUUAGAUACCCCAGUAGUCCUAGCUGUGAACAAUGGAUACUAGAUGUUGAACAGAUCGACCUGUGCAGUAUCAAAGCUAACGCGUUAAGUAUCCCGCCUGGGAAGUAUGCUCGCAAGAGUGAAACUCAAAGGAAUUGACGG